ACGGAAGGCAGCAGUGGGGAAUAUUGGGCAAUGGGCGCAAGCCUGACCCAGCAACGCCGCGUGAAGGAAGAAGGCUUUCGGGUUGUAAACUUCUUUUGCAAGGGACGAGACGAAGACGGUACCUUGUGAAUAAGCCACGGCUAACUACGUGCCAGCAGCCGCGGUAAUACGUAGGUGGCAAGCGUUGUCCGGAUUUACUGGGUGUAAAGGGCGUGUAGCCGGGUCGGUAAGUCAGAUGUGAAAGCACGAGGCUCAACUUCGUGUCUGCAUUUGAAACUGUAGUUCUUGAGUGUUGGAGAGGCUAACGGAACUCCUAGUGUAGCGGUGAAAUGCGUAGAUAUUAGGAAGAACACCAGUGGCGAAGGCGGUUAGCUGGACAAUAACUGACGCUGAGGCGCGAAAGCGUGGGUAGCAAACAGGAUUAGAUACCCUGGUA
rnacentral:rRNA from 1 species